rnacentral:rRNA from 1 species
AUUGAACGCUGGCGGCAUGCCUUACACAUGCAAGUCGAACGGCAGCACGGACUUCGGUCUGGUGGCGAGUGGCGAACGGGUGAGUAAUACAUCGGAACGUGCCCAGUAAUGGGGGAUAGCUCGGCGAAAGCCGGAUUAAUACCGCAUACGCCCUGAGGGGGAAGGUGGGGGACCGCAAGGCCUCACUUUCUUGGAGGGGCCGAUGGCUGAGUAGCUAGUUGGUUAGGUAAAGGCUCACCAAGGCGACGAUCAGUAGCUGGUCUGAGCGGACGAUCAGCCACACUGGGACUGCGACACGGCCCAGACUCCUACGGGAGGCAGCAGUGGGGAAUUUUGGACAAUGGGCGCAAGCCUGAUCCAGCAAUGCCGCGUGUGCGAAGAAGGCCUUCGGGUUGUAAAGCACUUUUGUCAGGAAAGAAAGCCAUUGGGUUAAUACCCUGAUGGGAUGACGGUACCUGAAGAAUAAGCACCGGCUAACUACGUGCCAGCCGCCGCGGUAA